rnacentral:rRNA from 1 species
GUAGGGAAUAUUGCACAAUGGGGGAAACCCUGAUGCAGCGACGCCGCGUGAGUGAUGAAGGCCUUCGGGUCGUAAAGCUCUGUCGUAUGGGACUAACACAAUGAAGGUACCAUGCAAGAAAGGAUCGGCUAACUUCGUGCCAGCAGCCGCGGUAAGACGAGGGAUCCUAGCGUUGUUCGGAAUCAUUGGGCGUAAAGCGGGUGUAGGCGGAUUUAUAAGUCAGGUGUGAAAUCCCAGGGCUCAACCCUGGAAGUGCACUUGAUACUGUAAAUCUUGAGUGUGGUAGAGGUUACUGGAAUUGUUGGUGUAGUGGUGAAAUACGUAGAUAUCAACAGGAAUACCGGAGGCGAAGGCGAGUAACUGGGCCAACACUGACGCUGAGACCCGAAAGCGUGGGGAUCAAACAGGAUUAGAAACCCCUGUAGUCC